GAACUCCUUCGGUGUGAGAAGUCCUGGUUCCCUGCUGGUGCAGAAAGCAAAGGGCCUGAUGCUCUCCUGGGUCUUCUGAACAACAUGUUGCCAGGAAAAAAAAGGACUGUGCAGUGGAGAUCGUUGAUAUGGAACUAUCCUAAGGUACAGCAAACCAACAGGGAGUUAACCUUACCCUGGCAUGAAGAUAAUUAAUGGCACCUUGAAUUACUGCAGACAGGGAGGGCAGAGAAAUCAACUCAGCUACCUGGAGAUCAUGCAAAGGCCCUGGAAGUACAACCCCAGAGAGUCCUGGAUAUAGCAUUUUCGUAUGACCUCAUCACUGGCCACCCUCCUG